rnacentral:rRNA from 1 species
GAGUUUGAUCCUGGCUCAGAUUGAACGCUGGCGGCAUGCCUUACACAUGCAAGUCGAACGGUAACGCGGGGCAACCUGGCGACGAGUGGCGAACGGGUGAGUAAUGCAUCGGAACGUGCCCAGUAGUGGGGGAUAGCCCGGCGAAAGCCGGAUUAAUACCGCAUACGACCUACGGGUGAAAGGGGGGAUCGCAAGACCUCUCGCUAUUGGAGCGGCCGAUGUCAGAUUAGGUAGUUGGUGGGGUAAAGGCCUACCAAGCCGACGAUCUGUAGCUGGUCUGAGAGGACGACCAGCCACACUGGGACUGAGACACGGCCCAGACUCCUACGGGAGGCAGCAGUGGGGAAUUUUGGACAAUGGGCGCAAGCCUGAUCCAGCCAUGCCGCGUGCGGGAAGAAGG